rnacentral:rRNA from 1 species
UCUGGGUCGCAUGGCUACAUGCCGUUGCUAACGCUUUGACCUGACUUCGGUCGAGUCGUUGCUGUGCAUCGGUGACGUGGUUGUGCAGCCUUUUUGCCGUAUCUGAUUUUCGGGUGCCGGUUGAUCCUUCGGGAACGAUUGGCAAGCUUCCGGAUGCCUUUAACAGGGUGUUUGGAGCGGACGGCACGUUUACUUUGAACAAAUUUGAGUGCUCAAAGCAGGCCAUAGAGCCUGAAAAUUCUUGCAUGGAAUAAUGAAAUAGGACUUCGGUUCUAUUUUGUUGGUUUUCGGAUCCGAAGUAAUGG